CAUACGACUCUCGGCAACGGAUAUCUCGGCUCUCGCAUCGAUGAAGAACGUAGCGAAAUGCGAUACUUGGUGUGAAUUGCAGAAUCCCGUGAACCAUCGAGUCUUUGAACGCAAGUUGCGCCCGAGGCCUUCCGGCCGAGGGCACGCCUGCCUG
rnacentral:rRNA from 1 species